rnacentral:tRNA from 1 species
UGCAGGGUAGCUCAGUGAUAGAGCACUUGCCUAGCAAGUACGAGACCCUGGGUUUGAUCCCUAGCACUGCAA